rnacentral:rRNA from 1 species
UACGUAGGGUGCAAGCGUUAAUCGGAAUUACUGGGCGUAAAGCGUGCGCAGGCGGUUUUUGUAAGUCUGUCGUGAAAUCCCCGGGCUCAACCUGGGAAUUGCGAUGGAGACUGCAAGGCUAGAAUCUGGCAGAGGGGGGGUAGAAUUCCACGUGUAGCAGUGAAAUGCGUAGAGAUGUGGAGGAACACCGAUGGCGAAGGCAGCCCCCUGGGGCUGAGAUUGACGCUCAGGCACGAAAGCGUGGGGAGCAAACAGGAU